GUGCUUAUCGGUUGUUUUACAACUUCAUUUUGGUUUUUUUUCUCUUUCUUUCCUAUCUCAAAAUCGCAUUUGAAGAAAUAGAACAAACACAUCUCAAGCAGAGAUACAAGGAAAAAAAAAAACAAAAAAAUUCGCGGAUUUUACAUAAAAAUGCAAUGUCACACCUUUCGUUAAGAAUUAAA
rnacentral:ribozyme from 1 species